UUCUAACCAAAAUCAAAAAACCUAAAACUAAAACAUAACAUUUUGUAUUUAUAUUAAACCCACACACCAUACCUAUUUCACUUAACCCGAAUCCGUGUAACAAAUCCAACUAACCCAUAAAACCAUAUUGUACAGCUGUAAUUCUGUUACAUGAGAUAGUAUACAAUACAUUAGGUUCUAGAGUAAAGAAAGAUAGCACACUUGUAAAUAUAAAUAGCACCCAUUGUACAGACUUUGAUGAUAGAGGAGAAAUACACUAAUUCUUCAUUUUGUUUACUUUCUGUUCAUGGUAUCAGAGCCUCCUCUGAUAUCUGAAGUUCUAAAGCUUUCUUCAAGCUUCCUUUCCUGAAAUUAAUGGCAGAAACUUAUAAUCAAAACAAUGAAAACACAAAUGUUGAAUCAGAGACUUAUAAGGUUUCUGCAUCUGAAAAUUCAGCUUCAAACCUCAUUAAUAUUUCCUUGAAUGGCCGGAAUUUCUUGUCAUGGAGCAGAUCUAUGACCAUAGCCUUGAAGGCUAGGGACAAAUAUGAAUUUGUCACUGGUGAAGAACAGGAACCUGCAGCUAGAUCUCCAUUGAGAAAGAGAUGGCAGAGGAUCGAUAAUCUGGUAACAUCUUGGAUCUUGAACUCUAUUUCUAAAGAUCUAGUUGAGGCAUUUUUGUAUUAUCCAAGUUCCAAGGAUCUUUGGAAUGAACUGACCACCAGGUAUGGUGAAUCUAAUGGACCUAUAAUUUACCAAAUAAGGAAAGAUAUUUCAGUAACUACCCAAGGUAACCAAACAGUAGCCAAUUACUACACUAAAUUGAAAAAACUUUGGGAUGAGUUGGCUUGUUUAAGGCCCAUUCCCAAAUGCACCUGUGGAAUUGCAGAAAGGUGUACCUGUGAUGUUGUGAGAGCAGCCUCAGAUCUGGAUGGAGAGGAGAAACUUAUGCAGUUCCUCUUAGGACUGAAUGAUACAUAUGACAAUGUUAAAAAUCAAAUUCUGCUUAUGGUUCCAUUUCCAAGCAUGAGCAAGGCCUAUUCAAUGGUACUAAGUGUUGAAAAACAAAGUGAGGUGAAUACUGCAAUCUAUGACUCAAGUGAGAAUAGCAGUGCAAUGUAUGUGCAAAAAUCAAACUACAACAGCAGAAAUACAAGUAAUAGAUCCAGAUCUAAAGCUGACAAGCACUGUGAUCACUACAAUGGGACUGGCCGCACUAAAGAGACUUGUUGUAAACUAACUGGUUAUCCAGACUGAUUUAUUGAACUCAAAAAGAAGAAGAAAGCUCAAGCACAUUAUGGACAAGUAGAUGAUGAACAAUUGACUGUUAACUCAAGAGACAAUGAGAAUGAUGUAUCCAGAAUGGUGAGAAUGGAGGUCCAGCGUGCAAUCAAAGGCAAGCUGCAGUAUGAUGAUAAGGCAGGGGAUCCACCUACAGCUAAUGCAGUCAGUUUUGCAGGUAUUAUCUUUCAUUUCAUUAUAAUGUGCAUGAUAAGUAUGAAUUAGUUCCAUGGAUUGUUGACACUGGUGCAACUGAUCAUAUGACAUACAUGCAUAAUCUGUUUCAUACAUUAACCAAAUUACCUAAACCUAGAACAGUAACUCUACCUGAUAAUUCCACCAGAACUAUAACGCAUGUUGGCAAGGUCAUAAUACAUGAUAGACCGGUAUUAAAGGACGUGUUAUAUAUACCAACAUUCAAAUGCAAUUUAUUAUCUGCAUCANNNNNNNNNNNNNNNNNNNNNNNNNNNNNNNNNNNNNNNNNNNNNNNNNNNNNNNNNNNCUAUUGGCAAGUUGAAUGGAGGCUUAUAUUUUCUUGAUAAGAAGUGUUUUGUACCUAUUACUACUACUAAAGCUUUACUUACUUGUACUAAACAUGAUGAUCAUUUGAACCUGUUAUGGCACCUUAGAUUGGGUCAUAUUUCUAUGGCUAGACAAAAUCAUGUAAUAAAUUUAGAUACAAACAGUGGUUCUUUUGAAUGUAAUGUUUGCCCUCUUGCAAAGCAAUAAAGAUUGCCAUUUUAUCCAAGUUGUAAUAUUGCUAAAGGCAUGUUUGAUUUAAUACAUAUUGACCUAUGGGGACCCUAUCCUAUCACUUCUUUAACUGGUGACAGAUACAUGAUUACUAUAGUGGAUGACUAUAGUAGAUACACAUGGGCCUACAUGUUACCAAAUAAACAACAAGUCCAUUCAAUUCUUGACCACUUUACUAACCUAAUAGACACCCAGUUUCAUACCAGAAUCAAAACAAUAAGGACUGAUAAUGGCACUGAGUUUGUGAAUCAUGUAGUAAAGACAUUGUUCCUUUCUAAAGGAAUUACACAUAAACUAUCUUGCCCUUAUUCUCCACAGCAAAAUGGGAGAGUGGAGAGAAAACAUAAAGAAAUUUUGAACAUUGGGAGAGCCCUUCUAUUUCAAGCUAAGUUUCCUAAGACCUUUUGGUCUGAGGUUCUCCUAUCUAAUGUUUACGUAACCAAUAGAGUGCCAUCCGCACUCUUAGAAUGGUUAAGCCCUUUUGAAAACCUAAACCAAAUACAACCAGACCUGAAACACUUAAGAGUUAUUGGCUGCCUGUGUUUUGCAACCAAUACUAAACCACACAAAGACAAGUAUGAUCCUAGAGCUAAACCAUGUGUGUUACUGGGUUAUGGGGCUCAACAGAAAGGUUACAAGCUAUAUGACAUGCACUCUAAGCAGAUUUUCUACUCAAGGGACGUUGUGUUCAAGGAAACAGUUUACCCCUUCCAUCACAACACCCCUCUUGAGUCAUGUACAUUUAAGAUACCAGACUUUUUAGAUGACAAUGACCAACAAAUUCCAAAACACACAAACACUAUACCUGAAACCACAAUACCAGCAACAUAUGAAAAUAUGACUACCCUUGACCAAACAAGACAAAUGACUACAACAACACCUGAACCAGAACACCAACAAUACAUACAAAAUAACCAGACAGAAACUGCUCAGACUUUACAACCAGAACAACCAGUUCAACCACUUAGAAGAAGCAUAAGAAAUUCAAGGCAACCAGCUUGGAUGACAGAUUAUGUAACCAAUUGUGCAAAUUCAAAUUCCACACAUUUCCUACCCGACUCACCCUAUUCACAUCCAUAUGCAUCUUUUGCAUCUAAUGUCAACAAAAUUCAUGAACCAUUAUCAUAUAAUCAUGCUAUUUCUAAUGAAAAUUGGGUGCAAGCAAUGCAAACUAAACUAAAAGCUUUAGAAGACAAUGGUACUUGGGUCUUAACUAAGUUACCUAAAGGGAAAAGGGCCAUUGGAUGCAAAUGGGUCUACAGAGUCAAAUACAAAUAGGAUGGGACUGUAGACAGGUAUAAGGCUCGCCUGGUUGCUAAAGGGUUUAGUCAAAAACUGGGCAUUGAUUACAAUGACAGCUUUUCUCCUGUUGCUAAAAUGGUGACUCUGAGGAUCCUGUUUGCCCUAGUAGCUAAAUAUCAAUCGACUCUUCAUCAACUUGAUAUUAACAAUGCCUACCUACAUGGCAAUAUUGAUGAAGAUAUCUACAUGCAACCUCCAGCUGGCUAUUCUAAGGCUUCUACAGGCCAAGCGUGCAAAUUGACUAAGUCACUUUAUGGACUUAAGCAAGCUGGCAGAAUGUGGAACCAGGAGUUGACAAACACAUUGCUCUAGUACGGAUUUCAGUAGUCAGUGAAUGACCACUGCCUAUUCACAAAAAGGGAAGAUAGUGACUUUCUAGUGCUUAUUGUCUAUGUGGAUGACAUUUUAGUUGCUGGGCCUAACAUUCAACUUGUAUGCAACAUUAAGGAGUUUCUACACUCUAAAUUUACUAUAAAGGACCUAGGUGAUGCAAGAUUUUUCUUGGGAAUUGAAAUCCUACGGUCUAUUGAUGGCAUCUACUUAUCACAGUAGAAAUUCAUUCAAGACAUGCUGUUAGAUUCAAACAUGCGGCAAGCAAAACAUUCAUCCACGCCAUUAGUACAAGGUCAAAAGCUUCAAGCAAACAUGGGACCAUUACUCACAGAACCAGACUGUUACAGAAGGUUAGUGGGGAGACUACUUUACCUGAGCUUCACCAGACCAGACAUCACUUACUCAGUACGGCAGUUGUCUCAACACAUGCAAAACCCUUGUCAGGGUCACAUGGUAACUGCUUC
rnacentral:lncRNA from 1 species